GAUGAACGCUGGCGGCGUGCCUAAUACAUGCAAGUCGAGCGAACAGAUGAGGAGCUUGCUCCUCUGACGUUAGCGGCGGACGGGUGAGUAACACGUGGAUAACCUACCUAUAAGACUGGGAUAACUUCGGGAAACCGGAGCUAAUACCGGAUAAUAUAUUGAACCGCAUGGUUCAAUAGUGAAAGACGGUUUUGCUGUCACUUAUAGAUGGAUCCGCGCCGCAUUAGCUAGUUGGUAAGGUAACGGCUUACCAAGGCGACGAUGCGUAGCCGACCUGAGAGGGUGAUCGGCCACACUGGAACUGAGACACGGUCCAGACUCCUACGGGAGGCAGCAGUAGGGAAUCUUCCGCAAUGGGCGAAAGCCUGACGGAGCAACGCCGCGUGAGUGAUGAAGGUCUUCGGAUCGUAAAACUCUGUUAUUUGGGAAGAACAAAUGUGUAAGUAACUAUGCACGUCUUGACGGUACCUAAUCAGAAAGCCACGGCUAACUACGUG
rnacentral:rRNA from 1 species